UGUUUAAACACACUUACACCUUCAAUAAUAUGACAAUUAAUCGUCAUAAUCACAUUAUUUGUUUGACAAUAAAUCGCCGGCACCUCCAGGUAUGUCCCGACCAACAUUUGAGUAAAGUUACAUAAUAAAAAAUACUUUAACUUUAUACUGUUUUCAUUUUAAUGAGUAAUAAAGUUUUUCAGUUUCAAUAUUCAUGUGCAGUUUAUUGUCCGACCAGAAGCAGCGGUCAAACGGCCUCGUCACGUGUCAGCUGUUACUUUUCUCAGCGCUGAUGCACAUCUUUUUAUUAUUUUCUGCAGAUCGCACAUUUGCAUUUGUAUGUUAGGCCUAACCCUUAAAAAUAUCACAUGUAGUUAAACAUUCUUUCAAUGCUCCAUUCUCCCCAUCAUUUAAUCAUUUCAGAAGUCAUUUUGCACAAGUAAUUUUUAGUUUAUCCCAGCCUUUGUUUAGAUUUCCAUGUGUUUAAUGCUCAUUUUGCAGAUAUUACCAGACUAAUAUUCUCACAUUUCCUUAUUACCAACAUUUUAAAUAUUAUCCUCUUUGAAAUCCCUCUACCAACUUCUAAUCCAAACCCAAAUGAACAGAUUUGUUCUGCGUCUUCUGCACUGACUUUCACACUUUGUUGACACAGUCAUAUUAAACAUGGAGAUAUUAUUCCAGUUCGGUGGAAAUCAGAUUUCUGUGGUAUUCCUGCGGGCACAGAUUCUGCGUGGGCAUCAGGACCUGCUGCUGUGUGUUUGCACUCAUGAUGAGUGUGUUCUAUUGUUAGGGAGGUGUGUUUACCUGCAGUGACUCCGCCUUCUUCAACACACUUACAGUAACUGAUGCUGCAAUAUGACAUUUCCCAAGAAACACAAACAGUCUAGAGCUGUCAAUCAUUACUGUGUGUUUCUAAGAAAACAAUUAGGCAAUCAAUAACUUGUGUGUGUGUGUGACAGAGAGAUAGAGAGUGUGUGUGUGUGUGAGAGAGUGUGUGUGUGUGUGUGUGAGUGUGUGUGAGUGUGUGUGUGAGAGAGAGAGUGUGUGUGUGUGUGUGUGUGUGUGUGUGUGUGUGUGUGUGUGUGUGUGUGUGUGUGUGUGAGUGUGUGAGUGUGUGUGUGUGUGUGUGUGUGUGUGUGUGUGUGUGUGUGUGUGUGUGUGUGUGUGUGUGUGUGUGUGUGUGUGUGUGUGUGUGUGUGUGAGUGUGUGUGUGUGUGUGUGUGUGUGUGAGAGAGAGUGUGUGGGUGGUUUCGCAUAACCUGAAUCUCUGCAUACCUGAGACAGGCUCGGCCGGUCAAACUUUUUCAGAGAUUACAGUCAGUGUUUGUCUCUGAAUGUGACUCAUGCAGCAUCUUACACUGAAUGGCAGCUGGUUGUUUGUAGAGGUGUUUGCUGGUGAAACGUCUCUAUUACUUUUGCUCAAGUGACUUUUUAAUAAACCUCUAACAGUAGAUAGUAAAUGUUUAGUGUGUAAGUCCUCCUGUUCCAGACACAAGAUCCUCAAAUCAUGUCCAUAGCUUCAAGAUGGCGCGAGUAUGGCGGCUGCGGUGCGAGCUCCGACCCAACAUCGCAGUUUUCAGUUUGUUUUGUUUACAAUUCUUGUGUUUUUCAUCUUGGAUGUCAUCUGCCUUAUUGUCUGUGAUAGACAAAUGCUUUUGGACAUUGGUUCCUCAAUAGCACACCAAAAACUGGACUUUAAGUACAACAAUGCCGACCCACUGCUUCAAACACGCCAGCGGAGUCCUUUGACUGGGCAGCCCGGCCACAGACGUGCAGCUGGAAAAGGAGAGCUGGCGUUCUCGUCAGACUAAGAUGUCGAGCAAAUCGAAUAUCUCAUGCCUCUGUGUCGACCAUUCUGGCUACUGAGGGAAUUCACAGCGGUCAUUAUCACAGCUGUGUACAUCCCCCCACAAGCCGACACAGACCGGGCACUCAGGGAACUGUAUGGGAGUAUAAGUGAGCAGGAAACCACGCACCCUGAGGCCGUGUUCAUUCUGACCGGGGACUUUAACAAAGCCAAUUUUAAAACAAUCGCACCAAAAUACCACCAACACAUCAACUUCAACACACGAGGGGACCGGGUUUUGGAUCUAGGAUUACCCUAGAAACAACAUAGCAACACCCUGGCAACCCCCCAGAACAACCUACCAACUGCAAAGCAACACCCUGGAACCACUCAACACCUUAGCAACCACAUAGCAAUACAGAGGCAACCACCUACAACACCCUAGGAAUCACAUGGCAAAGACCUGGUAACCCUCAGAUUACCCUAGCAUCCACAUAGCAACACCCUGGUAACCACCCACAACAUGAUAAAAACUGCAUAGCGAUGCCCUGGAACCACUCACAACACCUUAGCAACCACAUAGCCUAGAUCCUGUCACAGACCCACAUCAUCCUAGCAACUGCAAAGGAGCGCCCCUCUGGCAACCACCCACAACACGAUAACAACUGCACAGCUAGACCAUGGAACCACUCACAACACAUUAGCCACUGCAGAGCAAUGCCCUGGAAACCAACCACAACACCCUAGAUCCAUGCACUGACCCAUAUCAUCCUAGUAUGUGCAUAGCAACAAUUGCCAACCCACCACAACAAUUUGGCAACUGCAUAGCAAUGCCCUGCUGGCAACCCUCCUCAACACCAAAACAACUGAAAACACUCAAAGCACAUAAGCAACCACAUAGCAAUGCCCUGGCAACCACCCAUAUCACACUAGCAACCACAUAGCAAUGAUCUGGUGUUCAACCACAUCACCGUAGCAUUUGCAUAGCGACACCAUGGCACUCCCCCUACAACACUCUAGUAACCGCAUAGCAAUGCUCCUCUGGCAACCACCCACAACAACUUAACAAUUGCGUAGUUCCAUCCUGGAAUCACUCACAACACCUUAGCAACCAAAUAGCAAUGGCCUGGCAACCUCCUACAACAUCCAAGCAACUUCAUAAUCAUGCCCUUAAACCCCUCACAACACCUUAGCAACCACAUAGCAAUGCCCUGGCAACUGCCCACAAUACCCUAGCAACAGCAUAGAAACACCCUAGCUACCCCCCACAACACCUCAGCAACGGCAAAGCAAUGACCUGGUAACCCUCAGAUUACCCAAGCAACUGCAUAGCAACACCCUGUCAACCACUCACAUCACCCUAACAACCACAUAGCAACGACCUAGCAUCCACCCACAUCACACUAACAACCGCAUAGCAACGACCUCGCAUCCAUCCACAUCACACUAACAACCGCAUAGCAACGACCUAGCAUCCAUCCACAUCACACUAACAACCACAUAGCAACGACCUAGCAUCCAUCCACAUCACACUAACAACCGCAUAGCAAUGACCUAGCAUCCAUCCACAUCACACUAACAACCGCAUAGCAAUGACCUAGCAUCCAUCCACAUGACACUAACAACCACAUAGCAACGACCUAGCAUCCAUCCACAUCACACUAACAACCGCAUAGCAACGACCUAGCAUCCAUCCACAUCACACUAACAAAAAUGAAAUAACAUUUUUGACCCAGGAGAUGGUUUGAAUUGUUUCUGAUGUGUUUUUAAUUAUCUGUCACUAUCAGAGAGUGUAAAAUACAUUCAGAGACUCGCCGCUGCACUCUGAUGAAACACAGGGCUGGUUGCUAUGGCGGCGUGAUGUCGGGCCAAUGUAGCAACAGAAAUGUAUUACAUUACUGUGCUUGUUUCAAAAGCUUUAGGACAUUAUAGUGUGUGUGCUGGGCAUUUACAGACUACACACACGCAAACACACAUUACACAAUCAACUGAAGAUGUGAACAUGGGAUUACACAACAACUUUAACUCAUUUAUAUUUUGGAAACAUAUCAAGUUAGAAAGUCCACUGUAUAAUUAUCAUCAUUAGCGGAACCCCAAUUCUCCCAAAAACAUGGGACAGUAUGAAUAAUGCUAAUAAAAGUGAUUUGUAAAUGAUAUUCACCCUGUGGUAUACUGAAAGCAGCACAACUAGGGGCAAUUUAACACUAAUAACAAUUUGAGGAGUUGAAAUAAGAAGUGGAGGUGAAAUGGGAGACGUUAAACAGGCAAUCGUGUCAUUGUAUAUAAGGAACCUCCAAAAACAGCCUUAAAACCAUCAUUGAUCUGUGAUGACAUCAUGAACAUGGGCUUGAGAUGACUUUAGUGACCCUUUGAUACUCAACAGCACUCGCCGCUGCAUCCACAGAUGCAUGUUCAGACUCUGUAAAGGAGAAGCCGUACAUCAUCACUGUCCAGAAGCGCUGCACUAACAACACCGGGCACACGUGACCUUCAUAUACUGCCAUUCAAUCUUCUCCAGGAACAUCCUCUUCAAAGCACACACUGGCAGAAUCAUCAGAGAGAGCGGGCACUAGAUUGGCAUGCAGUCCUGACACUCUCCAGUUGAGAAUGUGUGGCGCAGAUGAAGACCCCGUACAGGUGUGCUGAUGAAGACCCCGUACAGGUGUGCUGAUGAAGACCCCGUACAGGUGUGCUGAUGAAGACCCCGUACAGGUGUGCUGAUGAAGACCCCGUACAGGUGUGCUGAUGAAGACCCCAUACAGGUGUGCUGAUGAAGACCCCGUACAGGUGUGCUGAUGAAGACCCCGUACAGGUGUGCAGAUGAAGACCCCGUACAGGUGUGCUGAUGAAGACCCCGUACAGGUGUGCAGAUGAAGACCCCGUACAGGUGUGCUGAUGAAGACCCCGUACAGGUGUGCUGAUGAAGACCCCGUACAGGUGCGCAGAUGAAGACCCCGUACAGGUGUGCUGAUGAAGACCCCGUACAGGUGUGCAGAUGAAGACCCCGUACAGGUGUGCUGAUGAAGACCCUGUACAGGUGUGCUGAUGAAGACCCUGUACAGGUGCGCAGAUGAAGACCCCGUACAGGUGUGCUGAUGAAGACCCCGUACAGGUGUGCAGAUGAAGACCUGUAUAAUGGAUUCCACUUUCUAAACUAAACGUGUCUUCAGUCCCAAAUACUUGAUAAGUGUUAUUAGCAGAAAUGAUGAUGCUUCACAGAGGAAACACUCGCCUGUCACAAGUGUUUGGGAUUGGGGUUGUACUUUGUGCU